AGUGAACGCUGGCGGUAGGCCUAACACAUGCAAGUCGAACGGCAGCACAGUAAGAGCUUGCUCUUACGGGUGGCGAGUGGCGGGCGGGUGAGGAAUACAUCGGAAUCUACUUUUUCGUGGGGGAUAACGUAGGGAAACUUACGCUAAUACCGCAUACGACCUACGGGUGAAAGCAGGGGAUCUUCGGACCUUGCGCGAUUGAAUGAGCCGAUGUCGGAUUAGCUAGUUGGCGGGGUAAAGGCCCACCAAGGCGACGAUCCGUAGCUGGUCAGAGAGGAUGAUCAGCCACACUGGAGCUGAGACACGGUCCAGACUCCUACGGGAGGCAGCAGUGGGGAAUAUUGGACAAUGGGCGCAAGCCUGAUCCAGCCAUACCGCGUGGGUGAAGAAGGCCUUCGGGUUGUAAAGCCCUUUUGUUGGGAAAGAAAAGCAGCAGGUUAAUACCCCGCUGUUCUGACGGUACCCAAAGAAUAAGCACCGGCUAACUUCGUG
rnacentral:rRNA from 1 species